UCGAAGCUACAGAAUUUCAGUUCGCCGCUGCGGAAGCUCCAUAGCCAAACUCCUUCCGCCGCAGCGUUCUUAUUCAGAAAUUCUCUUGCUCCGACUCCGAUCUCGAUAUCAUAAUAAGCAAUGGCUCGUUCUUUCUCUAACUCUAAGACUCUCUCUGCUUUCGUCUCCGACUCCGUUUCUGCUUUUCUCAGCAGGUAAUGAUCAUAACGUUCGUAAUAUGAAUCUAAACAGGAAAUAUUCAAAUUUUGAAAUCGGUGAACGUGAAUGUGUACCGCUGUUUCCGUUGAGUUUUUCGGUGUAAAUCUAAAAUUUUCUCAGCUAUAUUGCAUCUGAGUUAAAUUCUGUGGUUUUUUCACAGCAUUAUUUUAGAAUUAUGCUAUGCAUAACGAUAACAGGGGAUCGAAGUUCUCUGUUUUUCUUAGCUGGUAAUAACCGAAACAUCCGUUUAUCCCCUGGAUAAAAGGCGUUAGCAUACAACUUUUUUAAAUCAACAAGCGUGAUUGUCGCUGCACAUUUUGAACUUUUUCUUUUAUCAAUGUAAUAGUAUAUUUUAUACGUACUUGGAUUUUUUUUGUUCGUAGCAAAAACAGAGGAUUGUAUCGGCGGCUAAUUUGCUGUGAUGUGAAUGUGAAUUUUUUGUGUGUAUGUACAGGCGUGGAUAUGCAGCGGCAUCACAAGGUGCAGUUUCCGGUGUAGCAAAAGGAGUGCCAAGGAGCAACGUGAUGAUGCAAAAAAGUGGAGAGGAAUCGGUGAAGACUUCAUGGGUGCCAGAUCCAGUUACCGGUUACUAUAGGCCGGAAGGACAAGCAAAUGAGAUUGACGCUGCUGAGCUCCGGAAGAUGCUGUUGAAACACAGAUCUGGAAGCAACUGAAAAUCUUUGAAGCUGCGCCGUUGAUCUCCGGUUACUCAUCGGAGAUUUUCGAUCAACGAGAAAAGAGAAUUUAGUGAAGGAACUGUUUUAUCAGAAAAAUAUAGCAGUGUGAAAUUUACUCGUGCUUUGUUGCUUUUAAAUUUUAAGCUUAUUGUUAUAUCUUUCUUUUAUUAGUAUCUUUUAUUCAUGCAAAUGAAAUAAUUAUAGUAUUAGUGUUAAUCUUCGGGCUUUAGAUCCUAUUUUUUUCUUCUUUUUUUUUUGAAUUCUUCAAUCUCCAGGUUUACGUAUUUAUUUUUUGUUUCUUUUGGGAAAAUCUCAUAACAUUCUUGCAACUUUUUUUAAUCAAACUAAUGUUAUAAUCAUAUCUUAGUAUUUUUAAGAUUAUCAUCAAUAUAUUAAUAAAAUAAGUGAUAUUCAAAAGUUAUAUCAAAAGUAUUAUAAAUUAUAAUCUUUUAUAUAUUUAUAUUUUUAAAAUGUUAAUCAAAUUUUUUAUAAUUUUAACUCUAAAAAUAGAGAUCAUAACAAACAAUAAUGGAUAGAGGAAAUACAACAGAAAUAACAUAUACGUAAUAGAAAAGCAUGAUUUUUCUAAAUAAAUUAAAUAUUUAUUUUAUAGAAAUAAAAAAAUUGAAAGUAACUUUCUUUAUUACAAUUAUAGACGAUAUAAUACACAUAGGGGUUGUUUGGUACAAACAUUGAUAAUGCAUGGAUUAAUAAUGCAUGGAUUAGUAAUGUACGGAUUAAUAGUGCAAGGAUUAUUUUUUUGUAAAUGUUUGGUUCACUACUUUCUACCUAAUUUUGUCUUUAAUUUAUAAUUUUACAAAAAAAUUCUUUUCUAUUAUACCCUCGUAUUAUUAUGAGUGUUUAUUUCAUGUAAUUGGGUCAAGGUAAUAACCAUCGGACCGGAUAAUUUUUUGAAAGAAUUUUUUGUUUCAUUUAAUUAGUUAAAUCAUAUACAUAUAUACAAAAUUAUUAUUAAUUUUAAGGUAAGAUGUACCAUUAAGAGGAUCAAUGAUGGCACAAUAUACUUCUAAUUUUUUGUGGGUUAAGUAUAUAUCUUAAAUUUAACAUAGAUUAAGACUACUUAAAUUGUUAAUACCUAAAGCUUAUUUUUAUUUUUAUUUUUAUUUUUAAAACAAAUAGUUCAAGUGGUAAUUGACAAAUUAUCUUGAAUAUAAAAAUAAAAAAAAAUAAAGAAUUUUUUUUUAGUAAAAUCAUUAAAUUACACCAAACGAAUUUGGAGAAUUAAAAAGGAACAUUUAUAACCACUCCAAUACAAAUAAAAAGGAAAUUAAAUUACAAAAGAAAUAUAAAAAAAGAAUAAAGGGUUAGUUUAGUCAUUUAAGGAUCUUAUUCAGGGUUUAACAAACCUUGGAUUAGUUAUCCCUCCAUUUCCAAGGGAUAAGAUAACUCAUACGGAAAAUGGUCAAAAAUACCCUUGAACUAUUCGAAAUAGCUCAAAUAUACCUUUGAACUAUAUUUUCGCUCAAAAAUACCCUUCUCCUCAAACUAUAGGGUUAAAAAAUAAGACAACUUUCACAUAUAGCAAAUAAAAAAUUCAUAUUUGUAUGCUAUAGCAAAGUUUGCAUAAUGCGCUCCAUAGCAAACAUAUGAACUAUAUAAUUCGAUAUACAUAUACAGUUGAAGCAAAUUGUAUAAAACAAAUUGUAUAAAACAAGAAAGAGAAAGACACUUGGGCGGGGAAUUGUAUAAAAACGAAUUGUAUUAUUAUAAGUAUAUAGAAUGAUUAUAUACAAUUUGAAUUUGUAUAAAAUGAGAAAGAGAGAAAGACAAAAGAGACUUGACAAGGAAUAUACAAUUGAAUCGAGUUGUAUAAAACGAGAAAGAGAGAAAAUUAGAUACAAUUUGAAAAUUGUAUAAAACGAGAAAGAGAGAAAUGUAAAAGAAACUGGGCAUGGGAGUAUUUUUAUUGUAUAAAUAUAAGUGUAUAGGACGAAAAUAUAUGUACUUGCAUGUGUAUAUACAAUUUUCUCACGCUUUAUUCAAACAGAAACACAAUUUAUACAUUUCGCUCCUGUUUGUAUAAGUGAGAAAGGCGAGGGUGGCGAGCGAGAUCUGGAAGAGGGGAGAAAGGGGAAUAAAAAUAUAUGUAUUUUGUACAAUUUUCUCUGCUUUAUACAAUUAGAAACACUUUUUAUACACUUGUGUUUGUAUAAAAAGUGAGGAGGUGAGUGAGAGAUUGGAGGAGAGUGGCGAGCGAGAUAUUUGGGAGAGAGGCGUCUGACAAUUUUUUGCAAACGUUUGCUAUGGAACACAAUUAAUCAAAUCCUAGCUACUCCAUUUGUUUUAGAUUAUUAGUUUGCGAUUAUAUACAAUUUUCCCUAAAAAAUACCCUUCCCUUAGAACUUAUGUAUUCUGUGAACGUUCUAAGGAAAUUAAAGAAAUGAGGAAAAGGGGUUCUAUGUUCUUCAAUGAAAUUGUUUAUAAAUUCUAUGGAAAACGAAGAAAAUUGGGGGAAAUCAAGGAUAAGUUUAUUAGUCUACGUGCCAUGAGUGGAACUCUAUUGGCUCAUGUGGCAUGCCAUGUGACAUCCACAUGGCAUCUAAGUGACGUUUAACCGAUUCUGUUAAUGAGAAGGGUAUUUUUGAUCCAAUAGUUUGACAGUAAGAGUAUAUUUCAGCCGAAAUAUAGUUCAAGGAUAUAUUUAAGCUACUUCUGAUAGUUAAAAGAUAUUUUUGAUCAUAUUUUGUAUCACAUAUGAUGGAUAAGCAAUCCAUGGAUUUAAUUAAAUGAAGUAAACAAACAAUGUAUUAAUUGAAUUAAAUUUUAAUCCAUAAAUUAUUCUACCUAAUACCGUCUACAAAACGGAUCCAUAAUGUGCUUUAAAGUUAAACAUGUCAUAUGUAUUGGUAGGAGCAUUCAUGUCAUGUGUGAUGUUUGAAUUUUGAAGAUAAAAUAUUAUCUAACGAUUUAUUUAAUUUUAUUUAGACAUUAGAUAACAUACUGAUUGAGUAUUCAAUCAUAUUAUGAAAUAUUUUUUAAUUUAAAAUAUUAAAAAUUAUUUAAAGCUCUAUAUUCUUUAAGUGUUUAUUAAGUAGAUAAAUAAUAAAUAAAUUAAUCAUAAAGGUGAAUUAAUUAAGAGCCUAAUUAAAUAAAAUAUAUUGAAUAAAGCGUCAUCCGAUCUUCACAAUUCUUCCGUGUCUCAUCUGUUUUGGGAUGCAAAUCACUCAUUGAUUACUUAUAAAACAAAUACUAUCGUGUUCUACUUUUUUUUUUUUUAAAUAUUCGGGAUAUAAAUAAAAAAUAUUUUUAUAUAAUUAAAAUAAAUGUAAUAAAAAAUAGAGUUAAAAUAAAGGUGUAGAAUGAGGUGAUAACUUGUAACGAAAUGAAUAAUGUUACAUUUUUUAAAACCUUAUUUUAUUAAAGAAAGUAUUUUUCAAAAAUAUUAAUCGAAUCAAAUAUGAAAAAAUCAAAAUUUAUUUUUCACCACACCCUUAAUCAUACUUAAGUAUUAUAUUUUUUAUUAUUAUAUACCCUUUACUUUAUCGAUAUUAUUUUUAUCUUUAGCAUUAGAAAAUGGCCAACAAUAUGAUUUUGAAACGACAAGGGGACAUUGCAGUGACUUUAUAAUUAAAUUAAUCAAAGGCUAUACUCCCUGCUGUCCAUGUUAGUUGUUAUCAUAGUAUAAAAAUAAUAUUACUUUCAAUUAUUAAUCAAUUUAUAAAAUUAACUAUUUUCUUUUGGUUUUACUCUUACAAUUAUUUUUUUAUUUAUAAUUUCUUUUAAAGAAAGUAUAAAAAUAAACUGAACAACUAAUAUGAGACGGUGAAAAUUGCAGGUGUAUUGACUUGACUUAAUUAGGGCCAUUAAUCAUAUAAAGCACUAUUAACGUCUGAGAAUUAAUGUUGCCGUUGCUUACGCAAAGUUUAUUAAAGCAAUAAUUAGCCAUUAAAACAAUGCUACUAAUAAAGUAGAAUUACAUCUUUUUGUUCUUUGUAGACCUUAGCAGAGUUUGCGUUCACAUUACUUUUUUCUAAAAAUGAAUUCCGAUAAUUUGGUUGUUGGUUGGAAUUAUGUUUAGUAUUAAUAAUGUAAGAAUUUUAUAAUAGAGUUCAAUAAUUCAUAUAUUAAUUAUUCCACUUCUUAGCAUAAAAUAAUAUAAAUAUAACCUAUUGAUGUUUGUUAGGUAAAACAUAAAGAACAAGGUCCUAUAAGCAACAAAGAAAUGUUCUUCGUGGUGCAAAAAAGGUGGGAGCUCCCAGGAGGUUAAAAAAGUCGAAUCACAACGUCAGAUACAACAAAGGUAGGAACUUCUAGGGAGGGAGUUAAAAAAGUAGAAUCACAACGUCAGAUACAACAAAGGUAGGAGCUCACAGGAAGGGAGUUAAAAAAGUAAAAUCACAACGUCAGAUACAACAAAGGUAAGAGCUCACAGGAAGGGAGUUAAAAAAGUAAAAUCACAACGUCAGAUACAACAAAGGUAGGAGCUCACAGGAAGGGAGUUAAAAAAGUAAAAUCACAACGUCAGAUACAACAAAGGUACUCACAGGAAGGGAGUUAAAAAAGUCAAAUCACUACGUCAAAUACAACAAAGGUAGGAGCUCCCAAAGAGGGGGUUAAAAGGUCGAAUCACAACGUCAAAUACAACGAUCAGAGCAUGAAAGUAAAAUAAUGAAAUGUGAACCAUGAGAUGCACAAAUUCUUCACAAAAAGUCAUAAAUAUAGGUGAUGCAUUGCAUAUUUAUAUGAGAACUGUAGUGCAUGUCAUCAUCUGUUCCUUAGCUUCUCAAUUCUUUUUGUUUCACAUUUUGGCUUCUGAUUUAACAGAUUUCCGAGUACAAGCUAUAGAGAGCUUAAUGCAAUACGCGUGAUGGAAAAGAAUCUCGUUAUAAACAGCAAUUUCAAGAAUAUUUUGUAUCCAUGACAGAGCAAAGACGAAAUUGUAGAUAACAUAACGAUAAUGUAAAUGAACACAUGAGUUUUCGACUUUUUGUAUUGCAACUAUGAUGAGGAGGAAGGAGGAGAAUGACCAUUUCAGGCUUUCUGUACACUGCAACCAUGUCACCUGAUCUUUUCCAUGAGUUGCAAGUAUCUGCAAGCACUCAACAAAUAGAGUCAUGUAUUAGAUAUCUUCCUUCUAAUUUUCGAGGCAAUGCAGAAGUCAAAUACACUAUAAAGUGCCAUAGGUUGCUACAGAAGAGAAAGAGAAAGGGCAGAGGAAAUAAGCAGAUCUUGUGGCUGCAGGUCUGUCUCUCACACAAUGUACUAUACAAGUGCAUCAAAGGUUUUUAGUAUUGGACCAAAUAUUAUUUAUUUAGUUAUAGGUUUAUAUUUCUUACUUAUUGCAAUUUUAGUGAAUUAUUACACACGAAUUUAUUCGCUGCCUCGAAAGGAUUUCAGCCUCAGUUUACUGUUUGAUCAAACAGAGCCUCUCAGCAUAUACAAACUCUUAUUUUCCUAUUCAUACAUAUCGCUUCAAUGGUUUUUGUUGUCCUACAUGGAAUUCAUAUGUGUAUGACACCAUAACUCAACCCCAGAAUGUCUGCAACAAUCCAUUUUCUCAACCAAUGUGGGACAAUUACCACACCUGCACCAAUGCAUGUACAAUAUAACACAAGGAACCAACAUCGGGAAACCGAGAACAAGAAUAGAUCAAGCUCUGGUAUUAUGUGAAGAAAGUGGGUCUUGGGUCUAAUUUACACCCAGUGUAAGCUCAUGAGAUGAGGAUCUCUCAAGAUUAUAUAAAGAGAGAACAACCCAUUUAUUCAACCAAUGUAGGAUAGUUAAUAGUGUCAACCAUUAGCAAGCUUGGGUACAUACAAUUCCAGCAACCCCCCCCCUCACUUGAUGGCCAUGAUAUUCUUAUUAACAUUUCAUGCAAAAGAUUAGCCAACUACAUUAACCUCAACUGCUUGAUGGCACUAGUAAACUAAUAGCAAGCUUCUUAUUCUCUUGUUUUCAAACAAAGAACCUUCAGGAAGAAAUAGAGAUCCCUGUACUCAUGCUUUCAGCAAAAAAUCAUGGUCCAGACUCUGGUGAGUUGGUAGUUACCAGAUUUGUAAUGGCAGCAUCUCGUACAGUUGUGAAUUGUGAUUUUGAAAAAUGGCACCACAGUAGUAUGUACGAGUCAUAUUGUUGAAGCAUCAGUUACCGUCGUGGUGAACCAACAGCAGAAAUGUGUUCUAACUAGGAUGUAAAAACAGGGAAAGCUCUUGCAAACUUCAACUAUUAACUAGAAGCACCAAAGAGGGGAGAACACAAAAUUGAAAAGCAGUCUAUCGAGAGUCUAGUGCUGAUCAAUGCUUUAUUGCAUGUCUCAGAAUAAAGAUCCAUUUGGCCCUCGGGAAAGAUGCGUAAAGUAUGGAUGCUUAAGCUUGUAUAACUCUUCCCCUUCCAUGACAAAGAGAGAGGCUAGAGGGUGGGGCGUAACGAGCUCAAUAGAACUUUCUACGCCUAACAACGGAAAAAGAAGCUUUUUUAUUGUUUCACUCUCUAAGAAGAAUGAAAAAAAGAAAAGCUAACAUAAAUUGAGGGGAGGGUUCCAUUGCUUCAAACUUUCAUAUUAACGAAGAACGAAAAUUAACCUAGAAACUCUUAUAUGCAUGUACCAUAUGGCAAGUUCUCGGUAUAAGAUUUAGGACUACAUUUAUUCAGUGUUUGGCUGCAUGCAUUAGCUGAUACAAUAUAAAUUUUGUACAUAAUUGACUUAAUACAUAGUCAGCCCCUUACACUUGCCAAGAUACUUUAUUUAGAUACUCAAACUAAGUCUCUUCCAAUUGAACACCUCAACUCCUUAUAAAGAGUUCCCAUUAGACACUUUCGGUUUAAAUUUUGAACUUAAUUUGACAUUCUCUAUCGUUUAUUAGGUAGAUACAUUAACCACAUAAAAUAUGUCAUUUACUUUAAUUAUAUACACUUGCCUCAAAAAGUCAUAAACCUCAGGCGUUUCCUACUUGAGGUUGAUGCAUAUAAUUAAAGGAAAUAAUAUAUAUUAUGUGGUUAAGUUAACUACCUAAAUAGACAAAUGAAAACAUGCGUUAAGUUUUUCCGAAAUUUAAAAGGAAGUGUCUAAUUGGGACAUCUUAUUUGGAGUUGGGCUGUUCAAUUGGAAUAUGACUCCGUUCGAGUGUCUAAAUGGAAUAUUCUGACAAGUAUAAGGGGUUAUCUAUAUAUUAAGCCUAAUAUUAUUCCGUACCAUAAGGGAUGUGGGAUUAUAAUCCGAAGAUAACUUGCUCCAAACCAAUCGACCCUUGGGUGUUUGAGCAAUAUACCUCAGGGCUUUGAUCUUACGGUGAGAGAGCAUCCUAUCUAAAAUCCUUGAAUCAUUGAAUAAGGGGAUAUAGACGCAGCCCAUGCUUUAUUUGAUCAACUAAGAUAAGGUCUAGGACCAUAUGUUCUUUUCCAAAUAAUAGCACAUGAUAUGUCUGAGUUAUUAUGCACAAGUUUGAACCCUCUCAAAAGCCUUAAGCCUUGUAAUUAAGUUGAGAGAAGUAGAAAGGUGGCUUUACUGAUAAUAUGGACUCACAAACAAAAUAAUUCAAUAGAAAGAACUCUAGCAAAUCUGGCCCAAUGUUCUAACAUAAAAAUUCUUGUAGCAUCCUCUUGAUAAAAAAAUCACCACAAAGGGAAGACUACUUUCUCUUGACCCGUUAAAUUUUUUAAACAUGGUUAAAUACAUAUACAUGGUCUCUUCUUGUAGUUUCACAUGUAAGGUCAAUGUAGAGAUGAUUUCACUUCGCUUUUAGUCCUUUUCAAAGUUGUCAUUCACUUCUCCUUACCCCGUCCCCUUUUUAACUGUUUGUUUCUCUCCACCAGUUAAAAUGUAACCUACUUCCAUACUAAAAUAUCUUAAACAUGAACGAGAAUAAUACAUCAGAAUACAAUUUGACCAUGUUUUCUCUAAAAAAUCACAUAAUUGUAACUCUCUUAUUAUUCAAAAUGUGUCUUGUUAAACAAAGAUGGGCAUGUAUUGUGGAUUUUCUGUCAUCAAAGAUAGGUCUUAGAUCAAGCUCUUCUUCUGGUUCUUUUUCCUUAUCUUUAUUCUAUUAUGUUGAAUUCUUUCAUUUAGUUUCAGGCCGCGAAAUUUAAGAGCGAUAACUAAUAGACUGCGAACUUAUCAGAUGUUUAAUACUUUUCUUGAUAAGUGACAGUUUUAUUUAUUUGAUUAAGAUGCAAAGCUUCAAGAAUAUUCUCCAACUGUUAACAAUGUCAACCUAAACCAUACACAUACUCAUGAAAUUUGUAAUGCUUCACCACAAAUUGAAGAAUUAAACAUCUGAUAAAUUCAUAAAUUGAAUCAAGUAUAAGUCAGUGAGCAACCAAGUAGUAGCAUAUAUUCAGAAAUAUUCAAAAACUGGAACUAACCUCUUUCAGUAAACUCAGGCUCCAUCAUCCUUCUGUGUGCAGCUAAACAGAAGAGACAAGGUUACUGUUUCGAAUCUUUAGAAUAUGUCCAUUGCUAUUGCAAUUCAAUCCACAUCCACAUUGUGGACAAACCAAGAAAUUGUAAGUGGGAAAGCUAGCCGAAGCAAUUCCAACAGAGAACUCAAGAUUGUCACCAUUCUUAACAACCUCCACAAUAUUCAGCCACAGAAACAGAAUUUUUACACUAACCCCAUGUAGGCUUGACAGCCUAUUUUUAGCUAUGUACCCACCGAAUCUCGAUUGAUACCUAAGCUGAUAAGACCCUUCUAAUGCGAAACUGCAAGACCCACUAAGAUGUACACUGAAUUUUCCGGUGUCCUUAUCGAGAUCGUACCCAAUAGCACCCUGUGGAAGAAUUCCGACGGGGAAGCCGUAGCUUACGAGUAAGUCGUAAGCAGUGAGGGAAGUGCCACCGUUUACGGCGUCGGCGUCGCCGGUAGCUGCAGCGGCGGUGACUAACGGCGGUAGAGUUGUAAGGAAGAGGAUUAAGAGAGGAAAAGCGAGGGUAACGGCGAUCUGACGUGGAGAAAACAUUGAGGCUACCGUUUUUUGUGAUGAUUUUCGUAUCAAAUGGAUAUUCAGAUGCGAUUACUCCGAUGAUGCGCCGACGAUAUGUAUAAUUGACUUUGGGGAAGUUUCAAUUAUUGCAGAAGAUGACAGAAAAAAAAUUAUUUCGACGUUGGUAUCUUGCAUUGCAUAAUAUUUAUUCCCACCGGUUCCGAUUUAUAUGGUUGAUUUGAUGCAAUAUUUAUUUGAACUGAAUUUUUUUAAUUUCUUUAAUCUACAUCUUUAUUGAAGUAUAAAUAUAAAAAUUAUUUCAUCAAUAAUAAACAGAAAUUAAAAUUAUAAACUUUUUUUUAACAUAUAUAAUUUAAUUUUUGAAUAUCAAAGUAUUAAUAUUUCAAAAUUUGACGAAUAAUAUAUGCAUACUAUUAAGAUAGUACCGAAUAUAUUUUUGUUCUUUUUUCCAUAUCUAAUGCACACAAUACAAGUUAUGAUGACAUAUCGAUGUAUUUUGAUUUAAUUUAAUUAUAAAAUAAUCAAUUUGUAUACAUGUUAAAUUGUUAUGAAGUUGUUAAAAUAUUGACUUAUUAAUUAUUAAUUUAUUAAUUAUUAAUCAUUAUAGAUUCAGUUAUUAAUUUAAAAGGUGAUAAAUCAUAUAAAUGAAUAGAUUAUAUCUUGCUCAAAAACCAACACUGACACAAAUAUAUUUUCUUAACGUACUAUUAGAUUAUUGAUUAAUCCGCUCAAAAUAAAUUAUCUAAUAAAAAAAUUUAUUGAAAUGCUAAACCAAUAAAUUAAACAACUUUUUUAGAUUAUCAGUUUCGAGUAAACACUUUUAAUUAAGGAUGGAUAUAAUUAUCGAAAAAUUAAAUCGAAUUAGGAUUCCAAAUUGAAAUCGUCAAUGUGCUUAACAGAAAUUUUUAUUUCAAACUCCACAAGUAGAAAAAGUAGCACUACUACUGCAUAGAUGAAGCUCCACAGAAGAUACAUGACAAAAUACAUAUUCAUUCCAAAGGAGCAUAAAAAAACAUAUGCUUCCAGUUCCGUGGGAUUCUGAAAAUACGAACUUACCCUAAUUCCAAAAUGGACCAUACAUUUCAUCUUAAUUUUCAUCCUAAAACAUCUUAAUCUACAGUCGAUUUCUGAAAAUUUACGAUUCAAGACGAAGUGAUAAGCAGCUUCAAAUCGAACUUACCUGUGCCAUUUUCUCCAGAAUUGACACAAUCAAAUCCACAUCCACACUGUGGCGAUUCAUAGAAGUUAUCAAUUGCAAAAUCAGCAGAAGCAAUACCGACGGAGAAAUCGAGAUCGUCGCCGUCACGAGUAACUUCGACAAUAUUAAUCCAAAACAAAAGCACUUUCACCUGUACGCCUUUCAAGUUCGCAAGUCGAUCCUUAGAGAUUUUACCAGUAAUUUUACUCAUAUACUUGAGAUUAUAGCCGCUUAUGCUGAAACUGCACGAUUUGUUAAAGUAAACGGCGAAAUUGCCCGUUGUUUUGUCGAGUUCGUACCUUGUUACGCCCUUCGGAAGUAUCCCUACCGGAAAGUCGUAUUCCUGAAGAAUCUCAUACGCCGUCGGGGACUGAGAAUCCUCAUCGCCGACGACCGGUGAAGCUGCAGAGAGUUGGAGUAGGAGUAGGAGGAUGCAUAAGGGAAGGGCUACAGAAGGCAUAUCUUGUUCGUAGUUACCGAAAACAAAUUUACUUGAAAUUUGAUAUAUUACUCUUAUUUAUUAUUGAGGGGCUUGAAUUUGAAAUUUGUACUAUUCAGUUGUUCUCUGGUGUGCUGGAAAGCGUUGGUUAAAUGUGGAAGAACGUGGAAAUAAGUUACUUUAGAAUUAUUUCAUAAUUAAAAUGAAAAUAAUGUUGCUAUUUCAAAAUAAUAAAUUAUCGAAAAAAUUUCUAAAAACCUUUAAAAUUUCUUCUUCUUUUUUUUUUAAUGUAAAGCUAUUAAUAUUGUAUUUGAUUCAGUAUUUAAUAUAUUCGAGUUAUUAUAUAUUUAAUUUAUUUUAUAAUAUAAAAUCGAAUUAAUUUUUAAUGUAUUCAAGCUAUAUAUUAUAUAUUCAAUUUAUGUUAUAAUGUACCCGAGCUACAUAUUAAUGUAUCGAAUUUAUAUUUUAUCUUAAGAAAUUAACGUAAUUACAAAUUAAAAAGUGAUAGAUUGUAAUCUCAUAUUAAAACUAUGUGAUUACUAAAAAUUAUCGUAAGUUAUUUCAUCAUUUUAUUGCCUGUUGCAAAGAUCAAAAUGUUGAGGUAGAUAUAUGAUCAUAUAAAAGAGCAUAAGAUCAAAAAUAAUGAUACUCGAAAUAAAGUGAUAAUGAUUUUUAUGAUAGAAUUAAUAGAAGUGAUAGUGUUUUUUUUUCCAGAAAGAAGUGAUAGUUUAGAAACGUAGAAUUAAUGACUUUCACAUUAUAUAUUUUUAAUCUUGAAGUAGCUAAGAUUAUUCAAGAAAAUUAGGAUGUCACACUACUCAAAUUCAACAGGCGAUUAACUAUCUCGACUAAAGGCCUGUUUGGCUAUGCAAUAUAGAAUCAUGAUUAUCAUCAUAUGAUAUCAUAAUAUGAAAUUCUCAAAUGAAACGAAAGUUUUGUUUGGACAUGCGAUAUGAAAUUUUUGUGUUGUAUAAUUUCUUGUAAAACAUAAGAAUCUCACAAGUUGUAAAAAUAUUAAAAUAGCCUCAAUUGUUUAUUCAAUCUUAACAAAUAAACAAACAUUUAUAAAAUCGAAUACUAAAUUACUAAAAAGCUAUUUAUUCUCCACUUAAGUAAUUGUUUCAUCAAAUUUAAUUCAACAAAAGAAUUGAUCAUAAAUUAUAGUGAACUAGUCUUUAAUAUAAUUCUCCCACGUAAUACAUACAAUCUCCUCAUGUUGAACUGGAAUUUCUUGAUCAUAUGACUGAAACGAUCAAUCAAAAUUGUUACUUUGAGUCAUUUGUUGGUAUGCAAUUAUAUUUUCAUGCUCAUAGACAAUAAAUAUUCCAUCAUUCCUUUAAUAUUCUCGCAAAUAAUUAUGUAACGUUGCACAAGUCAAGAUACUUUCAGUUGUGUGUCAAUAUAAUAAUGGUUCAUUCCUUGUUUCAGUAUUAUGAAUCUAUUUUUCCAAGCUGUCACGACCCAAAUCGGGCCACGACUAGCACCCACACUUACCCUCCUGUGUGAGCGAACCAACCAAAUCUAAAUCUUAACAUUUCAAUGUACUAUCAACAUAAAGUAAUGCGGAAGACUUAAACUCAUUAAUAAAAACCAAUUCAAUAACUAUUAUUUCUCAAAAUCUGGAAGUCAUCAUCACAAGAACAUCUAGUCCAAAUUACUAAAUCUAAGAGUUUCUAAGAAGCAAAAAAUACAUGAAAGCUAGUCCAUGCCAGAACUUCAAGGCAUCAAGACAUGAAGAGGAAGAUCCAGUCCAAGCUAGAAGCAUUAGCUCACCCUGAUAUCCGGAGUAGUGAAGACUGGCUAGAGUUACUGUUGAGUCGAAGAUGACGGCACGUUUGCUGCACUCCACAAAUAACAAAGAAGAAAACAUAAAAGUAGGGGGUCAGUACAAACACAAGUACUGAGUAGGUAUCAUCGGCCAACUCAAAAUAGAAAACAGUAUAUACCAAGUAAUAUCAUAAAAUCAACUAUGAUACUCAACAUGUAGCAUUUACAAUUACCAUAACCCUUGGUUACAACACCAAGCUCGUCAAUGAGGACUCACGCCUCCUCAUCAUACUCAUUUGGGAUUUAGGUUCAUUAGAUUGAGUAUAUUAACAUCUUUCAGGAUUCAUUAUCUUUAUUUCUCUCGUGUCGGUACGUGACACUCCGCUCCUCAUAUACUAUCCUGGUGUCGGAACGUGACACUCCGAUCCUCAUAUACUAUCCUGGUACCGGAACGUGGCACGCAAUCCAUAUUCUAUCCUGGUGUCGGAACGUGACACUCCGAUCCUCAUAUACUAUCCUGGUACCGGAACGUGGCACCCGAUCCAUAUUCUAUUCUGGUGUCGGAACGUGACACUCCGAUCCUCAUAUACUAUCAUGGUACCGGAACGUGGCACCCGAUCCAUAUUCUAUCCUGGUGUCGGAACGUGACACUCCGAUCCUCAUAUACUAUCCUGGUACCGGAACGUGGUACCCGAUCCCCUAAUCUCCUUCUAUCAAUUCAUCAAGCCUUCUUUCUUACCAAAGACAUCAUCAAUCUCAUUAUUUUAGUUCAUUACGCCUUCUUUUAUACCAAGGCCUCAUCAUUAACAAAGAGAUUAGGGUUUUUCAAGAUUUGGGAUUCAAUAACUUCAUCAUGCUUAUAUAAUCACAAUUAUAUAAUUACAUUCAUGCAAGCAUACAAUUAAGCACAUAGCAGGGUUUACAACAUUAUCAAUACAUAUCAUUCGCUAUUAAGAGUUUACUACGAAUAUCGUAAGAGAAACCAUAACCUACCUCCACCGAAGACUAAUGAUCAAGCAAGAAUUUUCCAAAGCCUUGUGUUUUUCCUCUUCGUUCGUCUCUCUCUAUCGAUUCUCCUUCUCUCUCUUUCUGUUCUUUUCUUUUUCUUAUUCAAACCCUCUUUCUUUUACCCUAAUUAGCAUAUAAUUAAGAAUAAAAUGUGGCAAUAAUAACCCAUUAAUUAACUUAAGGUUACCUCUUUUAACCCCCAAGAAAUUUAGUCAUUAAUAUAAACCCACGAAAUAUAUAAUUAUAGCAGGAAUAGUCCAAAACGCCCCUUUAAAACUUAACCAGAAAUCUGACUCCGACUGGGAUUACGCAACCUGUGACGGCCCGUCGCGCCUGCGACGGUUCGUCAUGCAGGUUCGUCAGAGACUCGAUUUCCUUAAGGAGUCUGUGACGGCCCGUCGUACCUACGACGGUCCGUCCUGCACUUCCGUCACGACGUUCAGAGAAUCGUUCCCUGUACCAAAUUCUCAAGAGUUGAAGUGUUUUGAAACGGUGGAUCACGACGGUUCGUCGUGCCUGUGACGGUCCGUCCUGCAGGUCCGUCACAGAGUUCAGAGAGUCGAUUUUAGCACCCAAAUUUCAGAAUUUCUAAGUGUUUUGGGACGAGACACCCUCGACGGUCCGUCGUGCCCAUGACGUUCCGUCGUGGGUUCCGUCGUCUCAGCCUAUUUUUCCAGAAAUAAAAUCUGCUGCUCAAAAUGACUAAACAGGUCGUUACACAAGCUCCAAAAAUCUUUAGGGUUAUUUUAAUAAUAGAUAAACAUGUGCAUCAAUUGUGUAUUUAAAAAAUCUCAGAUGAUGAUAUGGAACUUUCAUACCAUAAUUUUUGGAGAAUACCAAAUUUCAUCUCAUGACAUGAGAUCAACAUGAAAUCGCAUGUUCAAACGCUGAUUACAUCUCACAAUUCUAUAUCGUGAUAUGAUAUGACCAAACGCCUACUAAGUCAAGAUUUUUUUUUAUAUAAAUAUAAUUUCUUUGCUAUUGAUUAUUGAUUAAUCCAUUAAAAAUGAAUUAUCCAAUAAAAAAUCGAAGACUCUUAUCAAGAUUUUGAACUAAUAAUCCAUUAGCAACAAAUUAACAACUUUAUUUAAAUAAUCAACUUUGCGUCAAUUAUAAAUAAUCCUAAGAUAAAUACAUAUUUUAAACUCACUCACAAAAAGUAAAUCACGUUAAGAUACAAUAGUUCGCAACAAAUAGAAGAAUACCGUGUAAACCCCUACUAAUAGAAAAUGGA
rnacentral:lncRNA from 1 species